rnacentral:rRNA from 1 species
UACGUAGGGGGGCUAGCGUUGUCCGGAAUCAUUGGGCGUAAAGAGCGUGUAGGCGGCCCGGUAAGUCCGCUGUGAAAGCCCCGGGCUCAACCCUGGAAGUGCAUUUGAUACUGCGAAGCUUGAGUGCUGGAGAGGUUACUGGAAUACCUGGUGUAGUGGUGAAAUACGUAGAUAUCAGGUGGAACACCGGAGGCGAAGGCGGGUAACUGGCCAGACACUGACACUCAGACCCGAAAGCGUGGGGAUCAAACAGG